GGGCUAUUAGCUCAGUUGGUUAGAGCGCACCCCUGAUAAGGGUGAGGUCACUGGUUCAAAUCCAGUAUAGCCCACCA
rnacentral:tRNA from 11 species